AAGGGGCGAGGUUUUGAAAACCCCCCACCCUUUAUAUAUAUAUUUUUUUUUCCUCGCCAGACGAACGCUGGCGGCGUGCCUAAUACAUGCAAGUCGAGCGCGGGAAGCGAGCUGAUCCCUUCGGGGUGACGCUCGUGGAACGAGCGGCGGACGGGUGAGUAACACGUGGGCAACCUGCCUGUAAGAUCGGGAUAACUCCGGGAAACCGGGGCUAAUACCGGGUAAUACUUUCUUUCGCAUGAAGGAAAGUUGAAAGAUGGCUUCUCGCUAUCACUUACAGAUGGGCCCGCGGCGCAUUAGCUAGUUGGUGAGGUAACGGCUCACCAAGGCAACAAUGCGUAGCCAACCUGAAAGGGUGAUCGGCCACACUGGAACUGAAACACGGCCCAAACUCCUACGGAAGGCACCAGUAGGGAAUCUUCCGCAAGGGACAAAAGUCUGACGGACCAACGCCCCGUGAUUGAUGAAGGUUUUCGGAUCGUAAAACUCUGUUGUUAGGGAAAAACAAGUACCGUUCAAAUAGGGCGGAACCUUGACGGUACCUAACCAAAAAGCCACGGUUAACUACUUGCCAGCAGCCGCGGUAAUACGUAGGUGGCAACCGUUGUCCGGAAUUAUGGGGCGUAAAGCGCGCGCAGGCGGUUUCUUAAGUCUGAUGUGAAAGCCCCCGGCUCAACCGGGGAGGGUCAUUGAAAACUGGGGAACUUGAGUGCAAAAAAGGAAAUUGGAAUUCCACGUGUACCGGUGAAAUGCGUAAAAAUGUGGGGGAAAACCAGGGGCGAAGGCGACUCUCUGGUCUGUUUCUGACGCUGAGGUGCGAAAGCGUGGGUGGCAAACAGGAUUAGAUACCCUGGUAGUCCACGCCGUAAA
rnacentral:rRNA from 1 species